AGAGUUUGAUCCUGGCUCAGAACGAACGCUGGCGGCGUGGAUAAGACAUGCAAGUCGAACGCUGACUGCCGGGUAGCAAUAUUCGACAGUCGGAGUGGCGUAAGGGUGCGUAACACGUGGGUAAUCUGCCGUGAAGUUUGGGAUAACUUGCUGAAAGGCGAGCUAAUACCGAAUGUGGAUCUUGGAGGGCAUCUUCCGAGGUCUGAAGUUGGGGACCGCAAGGCCUGACGCUUUAUGAUGAGCCCGCGGCCUAUCAGCUAGUUGGUGAGGUAACGGCUCACCAAGGCUAAGACGGGUAGCUGGUCUGAGAGGACGACCAGCCACACUGGAACUGAGAUACGGUCCAGACACCUACGGGUGGCAGCAGUCGAGAAUUUUUCACAAUGGGCGAAAGCCUGAUGGAGCGACGCCGCGUGGGGGAUGAAUGGCUUCGGCCCGUAAACCCCUGUCAUUUGCGAACAAACCUCGCGAUUAAACAGAUCGCGAGUUGAUAGUAGCGAAAGAGGAAGGGACGGCUAACUCUGUGCCAGCAGCCGCGGUAAUACAGAGGUCCCAAGCGUUGUUCGGAUUCACUGGGCGUAAAGGGUGCGCAGGUGGUGGUGUAAGUCCGAUGUGAAAUCUCGGGGCUCAACUCCGAAAUUGCAUUGGAUACUACGCCGCUUGAGGGUUGGAGGGGGGACUGGAAUUCUCGGUGUAGCAGUGAAAUGCGUAGAUAUCGAGAGGAACACCAGUGGCGAAGGCGAUCUUCUGGUCUGUUUCUGACACUCAGACGCGACAGCUAGGGUAGUAAACGGGAUUAGAGACCCCGGUAAUCCUAGCCGUAAACGAUGUGAACUUGGCGUUGGUGGGUUAAACUCCAUCAGUGCCGCAGCAAACGCGAUAAGUUCACCGCCUGGGGACUACGGCCGCAAGGUUAAAACUCAAAGGAAUUGACGG
rnacentral:rRNA from 1 species